rnacentral:misc_RNA from 1 species
GCUGCGCUCAAUGAUCAACAUGGUGAAGAGAGCUUGUACUUUGGGAGUUACUACUGCUAUGUUGUCAAACCAGGGGUCUUUGCUGGUGGUGCUGUCUUGGCCCUUGCAAGCGUCACCCUUGGAAUUCUCUAUUACCUUACUUUCAACUCAUCAAAGAGUGUUAAUAGUCCUUGGGGCAAUCCUCCUGUUUCUAAUCCAAGUGGCAUAGCCAUGGGACAACAUAUCACACCACAGACCACUCAAGAUCCUGUUUUUGUACACGAAGAUACUUAUAUGAGACGACAGUUCACUUGAUCGGUGAUUUCUGAACCCAUUUGGAUUGCACUGCUAAAUGUCAUAGACAUGCACUUUUCAAUCUCAUAGCUUCUUAUUAGCGGCAGGCAGUAUGGGAAAGCUGGGUUUAACUGUGUGGCAUCCUAGUUCCUUUGCUGGCAUUGGUGUAUUCACCUUUAUUUAUUCCUUUUAAAUGAUCAGAGUACACUUCUACAAAUUGUAUUUAUGUAUAUAUACACCCUGGAGGAUUAUUUUGCAGCUUUAAAAAAAAAAAAAAUGUUAGGCCCA